AUAUCUGCAAAUGCUGGUUCCAUGUCACAUGGCUUAUUCGAGACUAGAUCCACAAAAAACUCUGCAGAUUUUGUUACCAUCAACUUGCAUUAUACAACUGACAGACUGAAACGGUUGGACACAAAAAUCUACAUUUGUGUUCCACUGGAGAAACAAAGUCACCUACAUCUUGGAUGGCCUGGGGACUACCUGACCUGUUCCUGUUAAGAGCUAGUCACUCUUUGUGGAAUGUUCCUGGCCCAUUUUUUCUCCAAGUUUUUACAAAAGUUUUUUCAAUGACCUCAAAAUUGAUGUGUAAAAAUAAUAAUAAACUUGAAUUUGUUUAAA